AUUGAACGCUGGCGGCAGGCUUAACACAUGCAAGUCGAGCGGGGUGAUGGUGCUUGCACUAUCACUUAGCGGCGGACGGGUGAGUAAUGCUUAGGAAUCUGCCUAUUAGUGGGGGACAACAUCUCGAAAGGGAUGCUAAUACCGCAUACGUCCUACGGGAGAAAGCAGGGGAUCACUUGUGACCUUGCGCUAAUAGAUGAGCCUAAGUCGGAUUAGCUAGUUGGUGGGGUAAAGGCCUACCAAGGCGACGAUCUGUAGCGGGUCUGAGAGGAUGAUCCGACACACUGGGACUGAGACCCGGCCCAGACUCCUACGGGAGGCAGCAGUGGGGAAUAUUGGACAAUGGGGGGAACCCUGAUCCAGCCAUGCCGCGUGUGUGAAGAAGGCCUUAUGGUUGUAAAGCACUUUAAGCGAGGAGGAGGCUCUUUUGGUUAAUACCCAAGAUGAGUGGACGUUACUCGCAGAAUAAGCACCGGCUAACUCUGUGCCAGCAGCCGCGGUAA
rnacentral:rRNA from 1 species